rnacentral:lncRNA from 1 species
GGCUGCGGGAGUGAGUGUGAGUGUGAGAGCAAGAACAGCCCGCAGGUCCCGAGGCGCUUGCAGGGGACUCUGCCGCGGAAAGUUCCCAGUCCCCAGCCGCAGAAGCUUUUUAUUUUUGGUUGAUUCCUGCUGUCUACUCCUCUUGGAUGCCUUUGUGAAACUGCUUCUAUCUGAGAAGGAGGAGUUGCCAUUUAGCAAGUAGUAGGUGGUACCGUGUGUGGCAGAGUCCGAUGUGUUACACCACGAGGACAUUCAUCUUUGCAAUUGGUGAAGUCCUUCUACCUAGUUCCCCUUCCUUGUGCACAGAAGAGGACUGGAAAACUCCUCACAGGACUGCAUACUGCUAUCUCUGAGAAACCAGAAAGAAGAAAGUACCUCUUCCUUCCAAGCUUCUACCUAAGAGUAUACUGGAAGGUUUACCUAGAGCAACAAGACAACGAAAUGGAUUGUCCUUCUCACGCUAGUCCACACACAAUCCUCAUCAUUUUGAUAAGAUAGCAUGAAGUCUCUUAUCGCUUGUGGAUCCAGCACUUUGGUUCAGCAAGUUGGAGAGGAAAGAGUUUAUUCAGCUUGCACUUUCAUACUGCUGUUCAUCACCAAGGAAGUCAGGACUGGAACUCAAGCAGGUUCAUCUGCCCAUAAUUCUCUAAGAUUUGGAGCUGUUGAGGAGUGGCUCAUAGUAGACACUGAACCAUCAGCCAACAGCAUUUGUUGUCCUGGAUGUCUGUGCCAACCUUUCGAGUCACACUGGGGUCUAAAGACACACCUGGAAUAAAAAUCAGAAUGCUUAAGAAACUUAAUAUGAUCUGCGGGAGAAUACAUGAGGUUUUUGUUUCAUACCACAGUCUGAUGACAGCAUGGAUUUCAACUGAUGAUGUUCACCUUUGCCUCUUGGGUAUGUUGACCUCACAGUCGUCCCCUGAUAAGACUGCUCUUUUCCUUGGUGUUUAAUAAAUAAGGGAAUCUACACGGAGAUACUACAAAUAUUCUAUCUUACCUAAACUUUAUCAACCAAGUUUAAAGUUUGCUGGCAUACUGUGUUAGUGUAAGGACAGUUACUACUUUCUGUACUAAUUUCACAUUUUUCUAAAAGAGGAUUUAUUCUUACCCAUGCAUCCGUUUGUUGUUUGUUCAAAUUACCAUGGAAUUGAUCUACAAUGUUAAACUAAUACCAUCAUUAUUUAGCUGAUUUUCACUAGGUCAGAGCUAAGGCUGAUUUUCUCCUGUUUAAUUUUGAAAUGUUCCCAUGUGUUUGUUUUCUGUUGUUAGCAUAUUUUAAACUCCCAUGAGCUUCAGGCUUAUCGUAUUCUGUAUAUGUACCAGGCUUGGGAUCAACUAUCAGUUGUAUCUCCAAGGAGCCCUUGUCCCUUCUUUUGAAAGUUGGUUCUUAGAAAGUAUUAACAUAAUAUUGGUACACCCUUGGAUUUCAUUACUUCUAUUUCCACGCAAACAAAAAGAUGGUGAAGAUACAUAUAUGCACUGUGGUGGCUUGAGAAAGAAUGCUCCUCACAUUGACUUAUAUAUUUGAAUACUUGAUGCUCCAUUAGAACUCUUUGGGAAGGAUUAGGAGGUGAGGCCUUGUUGGAAGAGGUAAGUCACUGGUGGCCAGCUUUGAGGUUUUAAAAGACUGGUGCCAUUCCUAAUGUGCCUCUCUCCCUCUUUUUCUUCUAGGUCAAUAUGUGAGCUCAGAGAUUUCCCUGCUUUUGUUCUGUCAUUAUGGAUUCUAAACUUCUGAAACUACAUACUCAAUUAAAUGUUUUCUUUUAUAAAUUA